rnacentral:rRNA from 1 species
GACGAACGCUGGCGGCGUGCUUAACACAUGCAAGUCGAACGGAAAGGCCCUGCUUUUGUGGGGUGCUCGAGUGGCGAACGGGUGAGUAACACGUGAGUAACCUGCCCUUGACUUUGGGAUAACUUCAGGAAACUGGGGCUAAUACCGGAUAGGAGCUCCUGCUGCAUGGUGGGGGUUGGAAAGUUUCGGCGGUUGGGGAUGGACUCGCGGCUUAUCAGCUUGUUGGUGGGGUAGUGGCUUACCAAGGCUUUGACGGGUAGCCGGCCUGAGAGGGUGACCGGGCACCAUGGGGCUGAGAUUCCGCCCAGACCCCUUCGGGGGGGAGGAGGGGGGAAUAUUGCACAAUGGGCGGAAGCCUGAUGCAGCAACGCCGCGUGCGGGAUGACGGCCUUCGGGUUGUAAACCGCUUUCGCCUGUGACGAGGCGUGAGUGACGGUAAUGGGUAAAGAAGCACCGGCUAACUACGUG